GUCAUGCAGGAUUCUUGGACUGGAAUGGAAACACACUAAGUAUAGUUUAGCUGUGAGGAUGUUUUUUUACUAGUGUCAUCUCAUGCAUGCUGCUGUCAUGGGCCAUCAUCAUGAUUUAUUUGCAAACAGUUUUUAGAAUAGGGAAAAUCUCAUUCAAAUAUAUUUGAUGGUACUGGCAGCAAUUGGCUCCUAAAGAUACCCCA
rnacentral:lncRNA from 1 species